UUUCCGUAGGUGAACCUGCGGAAGGAUCAUUACAGAGUUCAUGCCCUCGCGGGUAGAUCUCCCACCCUUGAAUAUUUAUACCUUAGUUGCUUUGGCAGGCCGUGGAAACACCAUGGGCUCCGGCUUAUGCGUGCCUGCCAGAGGAAACAAACUCUGUUUUUAGUGAUGUCUGAGUACUAUAUAAUAGUUAAAACUUUCAACAACGGAUCUCUUGGUUCUG
rnacentral:misc_RNA from 1 species